rnacentral:rRNA from 1 species
AUUGAACGCUGGCGGCAGGCCUAACACAUGCAAGUCGAACGAGUGGCGGACGGGUGAGUAAUGUCUGGGAAACUGCCUGAUGGAGGGGGAUAACUACUGGAAACGGUAGCUAAUACCGCAUACCAUCAGAUGUGCCCAGAUGGGAUUAGCUAGUUGGUGGGGUAACGGCUCAGCAAGGCGACGAUCCCUAGCUGGUCUGAGCGGAUGACCAGCCACCCGAGAACGUAGACGCGUGCCAGGCUCCUACGGGAGGCAGCAGUGGGGAAUAUUGCACAGUGGGCGCAAGCCUGGUGCAGCCAUGCCGCGUGUAUUAAGAAGGCCUUGGGGUGGUAAAGUACUUUCAGCGGGGAGGCGUUACCCGCAGAAGAAGCACCGGCUAACUCCGUGCCAGCAGCCGCGGUAAUUC